rnacentral:rRNA from 1 species
AUGGACGCCGCCGACUCGUCGCCGAUGCACAUCGUCCUCUUCCCGUGGCUUGCGUUCGGUCACAUGACCCCCUUCCUCGAGCUUGCGGAGCGCCUGGCGGCCCGCGGUCACCGCGUCUCCUUCGUCUCAACGCCGCGCAAUAUCAGCCGCCUCCCGGCCGUCGUGGACGUCCACCUGGUGGCUCUGCCGCUCCCCCACGUGGACGGCCUCCCCGAGGGAGCGGAAGCCACCAGCGACCUCCCGCCCGGCAAGGCCGAGCUCCUGCAGAAGGCCGCCGACGGCCUCGCCGGGCCGUUCGGCGCCUUUCUAGACGACGGCAAGAAGCCGGACUGGGUCAUCGUCGACACCUUCCACUAUCUAGCCGCCGCCGCCGCCGCCCGCCGGGGCGUGCCGUCCGUGAUGUUCCCCAUCUUCUCCUCCUCAUCGAGCGCCCUAUGGGGCGUGCCGCGCGUGUCGACGGCCGUUGACCCGGAGGUAGGGGCGUCGCUAGCGCAGCGCUUCUUGUUAACCCACCAAAGCUGCAAGAUGGUGGCCAAGCGGUGCUGCGUGGAGUUCGACCCCGACGGCGUGCCUCUCCUGCCGGCCAUCUUCGGCAAGCCGUUCGCCCCUCUCGGCCUGCUGCCGCCGCCUCUGAGGUCCACCGAAGGCGACGCGCUCGUCUCAUGGCUCGACCGACAGCCGCCGAAAUCCGUCCUCUACGUCGCGCUGGGAAGCGAAGCGCCGCUGAGCAAGGAGCUGGUGCACGAGCUGGCCAUCGGCCUGGAGCUCGCCGGGACGGCGUUCCUCUGGGCCCUGAGGAAGCCCAGCGGCGUCCCGGACGACGCCGUCCUUCCUCCGGGCUUCCAGGACCGCACCAAGCACCGCGGGCUCGUGGCGAUGGGGAUGGUCCAGCAGACCAGGGUGCUGGCGCACGACUCCGUCGGCGCGUUCCUGACGCACUGCGGGUGGAGCUCGGUCAUCGAGGGGAUGCAGUAUGGACGUCCCCUUGUCAUGCUGCCAUUCUUUGGGGACCAAGGGCCGAUUGCUCGGCUCAUGGAGGGGAGGAAGGUUGGACUGCCGGUGCCAAGGAAGGGAGAGGAUGGGUCGUCUUUUGACCGGGAAGGCGUCGCGUCGGCGGUCCGGGCCGUCAUGGUGGAGGAGGAAGGUAGAUGUGCCUUCGCGACCAAUGCCGGGAAGUUGCAACAGGUUGUCGGCGACACUGCAAGCCAUGAGCAGUGCAUCGAUGACUUCCUUCAGCAACUACGAUUUUACAAGGAAUAG